rnacentral:rRNA from 1 species
CUGGCGGCGCGCCUAACACAUGCAAGUCGAACGAGCGAGAGAGAGCUUGCUUCUCGAGCGAGUGGCGAACGGGUGAGUAACGCGUGAGGAACCUGCCUCAAAGAGGGGGACAACAGUUGGAAACGACUGCUAAUACCGCAUAAGCCCACGGGUCGGCAUCGACCAGAGGGAAAAGGAGCAAUCCGCUUUGAGAUGGCCUCGCGUCCGAUUAGCUAGUUGGUGAGGUAAUGGCCCACCAAGGCAACGAUCGGUAGCCGGACUGAGAGGUUGAACGGCCACAUUGGGACUGAGACACGGCCCAGACUCCUACGGGAGGCAGCAGUGGGGAAUAUUGCACAAUGGGGGAAACCCUGAUGCAGCGACGCCGCGUGGAGGAAGAAGGUCUUCGGAUUGUAAACUCCUGUUGUUGGGGAAGAUAAUGACGGUACCCAACAAGGAAGUGACGGCUAACUACGUG